rnacentral:rRNA from 1 species
UACGUAGGGGGCAAGCGUUGUCCGGAUUAUUGGGCGUAAAGAGCGUGUAGGCGGUUUGGUAGGUCCGCUGUGAAAACUCGAGGCUCAACCUCGAGACGCCGGUGGAAACCAUCAGGCUAAGACGUCGAAGAGGAGAGUGGAAUUCCUGGUGUAGCGGUGAAAUGCGCAGAUAUCAGGAAGAACACCCGUGGCUAAGGCGGCUCUCUAGUACGGUACUGACGCUGAGACGCGAAAGCGUGGGGGAGCAAACAGG